rnacentral:rRNA from 1 species
CCUACGGGAGGCAGCAGUGAGGAAUAUUGGUCAAUGGACGAGAGUCUGAACCAGCCAAGUCGCGUGAAGGAUGACUGCCCUAUGGAUUGUAAACCUCUUUUAUAAGGGAAUAAAACGAGGCACGUGUCCCUUUUUGCAUGUACUUUAUGAAUAAGGAUCGGCUAACUCCGUGCCAGCAGCCGCGGUAAUACGGAGGAUCCGAGCGUUAUCCGGAUUUAUUGGGUUUAAAGGGAGCGUAGAUGGGUUGUUAAGUCAGUUGUGAAAGUUUGCGGCUCAACCGUAAAAUUGCAAUUGAUACUGGCUGUCUUGAGUACAGGUGAGGUAGGCGGAAUGCGUGGUGUAGCGGUGAAAUGCUUAGAUAUCACGAAGAACCCCGAUUGCGAAGGCAGCUUACUAAGCUGUGACUGACAUUGAUGCACGAAAGUGUGGGUAUCAAACAGGAUUAGAUACCAUUGUAGUC